rnacentral:rRNA from 1 species
GACGAACGCUGGCGGCGUGCUUCACACAUGCACGUCGAACGAAGUGGCUAACGGGUGAGUAACGCGUAAUCAACCUGCCCUUCAGAGGGGGACAACAGUUGGAAAAGACUGCUAAUCACGCAUAACGAAGGAGGGGAUGGCGUCUGAUUGGCUAGUUGGAGUGGUAACGGCCCACCAAGGCGAUGAUCAGUAGCCUGUCUGAGAGGCUGAACGGCCAAAGUGGGACUGAGACACGGCCCAGACUCCUACGGGAGGCAGCAGGGGGGAAUCUUCCGCAAUGGACGAAAGUCUGACGGAGCAACGCAGCGUGAGUGAUGACGGCCUUCGGGUUGUAAAGCUCUGGUAAUCGGGACGCGGUACCGGAAUAGAAAGCCACGGCUAACUACGUGCCAGCAGCCGCGGUAAUAC